rnacentral:rRNA from 1 species
UACGUAGGGGGCAAGCGUUGUCCGGAAUUACUGGGCGUAAAGGGCGUGUAGGCGGCCAUGUAUGUCAGGUGUGAAAUGCCACGGCUCAACCGAGGCACUGCACAUGAAACUGGAUGGCUUGAGUGCAGGAGAGGGAAGUGGAAUUCCUAGUGUAGCGGUGAAAUGCGUAGAUAUUAGGAGGAACACCAGUGGCGAAGGCGACUUCCUGGACUGUAACUGACGCUGAGGCGCGAAAGCGUGGGUAGCAAACAGGAUUA